UGGGGGAUAGUGCACAAUGGGCGAAAGCCUGAUGCAGCGACGCCGCGUGGGGGAUGAAGGCUUUCGGGUUGUAAACCUCUUUCGCUAUCGAACAAGGCCCGCUUAGGGUGGGUUGAGGGUAGGUGGAGAAGAAGCGCCGGCUAACUACGUGCCAGCAGCCGCGGUAAUACGUAGGGCGCGAGCGUUGUCCGGAAUUAUUGGGCGUAAAGGGCUUGUAGGCGGCUUGUUGCGCCUGCUGUGAAAACGCGGGGCUUAACUUCGCGCGUGCAGUGGGUACGGGCAGGCUUGAGUGUGGUAGGGGUGACUGGAAUUCCAGGUGUAGCGGUGGAAUGCGCAGAUAUCUGGAGGAACACCGAUGGCGAAGGCAGGUCACUGGGCCAUUACUGACGCUGAGGAGCGAAAGCAUGGGUAGCGAACAGG
rnacentral:rRNA from 1 species